AACGAGGCCGACCUGCGGCUGAGUUACCUGCGGAGGGAUCAUUAACGCGUCUCCGACGGCGAGGGCGCGCCCCAGCUCCGGGCCGAAAGGCCGCGCUGCGGGGCGGCCCGAGCCGCUCGACCUUUGCGAACCCGCUGUGCACUUUUGUCGGCAGAGGCCCCCCCGGGGCCCGAGCCGGAAUCACAAACCCACUCGAAUCGAACGCUGAGCGGCCCCCGUGCCGCCUAAACUUUGACAACU
rnacentral:misc_RNA from 1 species